UUCAUAUAAUCAAACAAUUUAACAGUUUACAAUAAUUAAGGUUGCAUAUUCCAUAGUUUAUGUGCAGGAACUGUGGUUUUGAUUUACCAAUACAGUGGUAAUGUUAUUUAACAAGGCAAUACACUGUGGCUGUGGCUCAGUGUGAUGCAUCAUCAAAAAACAAUACAAUAUAUGAAACGCUACAGGGCUUUUCAUUUGAAGCGAGGGCUUUUCAUUUGAACCUGAUACAGAAGUGGCAUUUGGCCGACCAAUUGUGUAACGCCAUCACUCAGUCACGUGGCAUUUGGUCGACCAAUGGUGUAACUCGGGCCGGCCCCGCUGUUGCCAGGCAGAAAAUCAUCUCUGUGUUUAGGACAUGCGUAGUGCGAUAUCUAGUGACGACGGUUGGCGGGCUUCUACUUUAUUCAACGACAGCAAAUUCACGCCACUAACCGCCGACUGCUGCUGCGGUGAGAAUACGUGUGCACUCCAAACUAGGGGCAGGUACCUGAGAACAGGCUGAUUAGCAGGAUGAGACACAUCUGGGUCCAGUGAGCCCCAUGUAUAAAGCUGGAGAAGCUGCCAGUUCAGAGCACAUGGAAAAGGCAGGAGAAAACAUCAGAGCGAUCCAGUCUGAAGACCAACAAGAAGUUACUGUUCUCCACAGACCAGGAGUCUGAACAGGUGCUUGCAGGAGUGGGGACAGCUUAUGGUUCGGUGUCACCACUGAGAGCCAAGAGCUGUAUUCCCUCUUCAUGAGGCACAGUCCCACAGUCUCACAGAGGCCAAGUGGUCCCAGCUGGAGGGGAAGCACAGGAUGGUCAGCCUGACUGAUGCCGAGGUGAUGAAGAGUGAAAUUAGCUUCUUUUUUUGCAGCUGCAGUGCAGUAUUAAGUUGCCCUAAGGAGGUGUCAUUUCUGUGUGGGGUUCUCUAGAUUGGUGAAUGCCUACAUGUGUCAUAGUAGUAAUAAAGUAUAAUAAGGUUGUCUGAUGUGACUGCUGUUAGUUAUUGGUUUGAUUAAUGAUUUACAGUCUAAUAAUGUGUGUUGUAUUGAUUACUAACGGUGGCUGAUCAGGCUAAUAUUGUACUCAGUUUCUAUGCAUGUUUUUAAACUACUUUCCCAAUUAAACUUUAUGUGCUUGAUGGUGUUAUUAAUGACUCCUGAUGAGACUUGAAACCUAGCCAUCCGGCCAUCCGCCGUUUAAAGUCAGUUGCACUCCUACUAUAGUAAUUACAGCAGCAUAGUCAAAGCUGAUAAAGUGCCUUAAGGCU